rnacentral:rRNA from 1 species
UAACAGAGGUCUCAAGCGUUGUUCGGAUUCAUUGGGCGUAAAGGGUGCGUAGGCGGCGCGGUAAGUCGGGUGUGAAAUCUUGGAGCUUAACUCCGAAACUGCAUUCGAUACUGCCGUGCUUGAGGACUGGAGAGGAGACUGGAAUUUACGGUGUAGCGGUGAAAUGCGUAGAUAUCGUAAGGAAGACCAGUGGCGAAGGCGGGUCUCUGGACAGUUCCUGACGCUGAGGCACGAAGGCCAGGGGAGCAAACGGG